rnacentral:misc_RNA from 1 species
ACAUAAUGACAUUUCAUAUCACCAUAGCUACUCAUAUUACUAACAUAUAAUGAUGACUAGGGAAUCUGCCAGAGUUUGGUAUAACUGAAGAUUAAAUUAAGAAGAUUAUGACUUGGAUCAUAUUUAGUUUAGGUAGCCAAGAACUUACAGGAAAGAAGAACCUUUAUUAUAGGAACCAUUUUAAUAGGUUCAAGCGCACCAAAACUUAAAUUUUGUAGAAGUGAAAUGUAAAGUUUUCAACAUUUGAGUGAUUCAAAAGUGAAACCACAAAAAAGAAAUUGAGGCAUUUGGUAAGAAAGGUAGUGAUGAGAAAAAAUUGUGCUUGAGGAUUUUGAAGGUUCCAUGAGUAAUCUUUAAUAAAAACACUAAAAACUAAUGAUCGCAUGUCAAUUAUUCCAUUGGAGGAUAAAACAGAACGAUAUACGCUUUUAGCCUAGUACAAUAUUUGCAGAAUUUCUCAGAAAGUACAAUAUUUGCAGGGACUUGCUCAGAAAUAGAAUUCCAAACAAUGCAAUUAUACUUUACAGGAACCUGUAAACAUCAAUAAUGCACAUUCAAUGGGGGUGUAAAUUAAUCAUGUUACUCAUAGAAUACUCGGACUCAACUUUUGAAUUACUCAAAUUCUAUAGUCAAGCUCAAACUUAGGGAUUAAAAUACUCUACCCAAGUUGCUCACAAGUCUAAUCAAGUAUUUAAUUUUAUACAACUAAAUAUAUUUCAAACUAAAUAUCCUAUUUAAAUCAUAAAUUAUGAUAUGUACAAUUUAUCCCAAAUAUGUAAAAGCAAAAUGUCAAUUUGAGCUUAAACUCAAGCUAACUUUAGUUUAUUUGAGUUUUAAAUCAACAUCAGUUACAAGGUUAAUUUGAAUUUUUUUUAUGACAAUUGAAUCAACAUCAGCUUAAGUAUAACAUCAAGCCAAAUUAGAGUAUGAAAAUAAAGUUCAACCAAGUUAAAAUUCAGUUUGGAGUUUAGU